AGAAAAGAAAGAGUCUAAUACUACAGCCAAAAGCAAUGGAAUAAAAGCUGGAUUGCUGAGCAACAAUCCCUCACUACAGAUCAGUCCAGUAAAGCUAGAUAGAACCAAUUACCUUGCUUGGUCAAGGUCAUGCCCAUUGUUCAUCGAAGCUUGAUGUGUGCAGAGUUAUAUUACAAGAAAUAAGUAAAAACCAGCAGCUACCGACCGUAGCUUAAAAGAACAGCCAUUAAGUUAUACAACUGCCAUUAUUUAUAGGUUUUUUGGACAUUUGUACCUGUUUCGCCUAUAUAUAAUGGCAUUUUAAAAUUGUAGGCUGUAACAGCCGUUAUGACCGUUAAGUAAUGGUAACGGCUGUUAUUAACAUGGGCAGAUAAGGGAAGUUUUUU
rnacentral:misc_RNA from 1 species